rnacentral:piRNA from 1 species
UACUGAUUUUCAUGGGCCACCAGACGGGC